CCUACGGGUGACAGCAGUGGGGAAUAUUGCACAAUGGGGGAAACCCUGAUGCAGCGACGCCGCGUGCGUGAAGAAGUAUUUCGGUAUGUAAAGCUCUAUCAGCAGGGGAGAAAAUGACGGUACCUGAGUAAGAAUCCCCGGCUAACUACGUGCCAGCAGCCGCGGUAAUACGUAGGCGGCAAGCGUUAUCCGGAUUUACUGGGUGUAAAGGGAGCGUAGACGGCAGUGCAAGUCUGGAGUGAAAGGCGGGGGCGCAACCCCCGGACUGGUCUGGAAACUGUACGGCUGGAGUGCAGGAGAGGUAAGUGGAAUGCAUAGUGUAGCGGUGAAAUGCGUAGAGAUUAGGAGGAACACCAGUGGCGAAGGCGGCUUACUGGACUGUGACUGACGUUGAGGCUCGAAAGCGUGGGGAGCAAACAGGAUUAGAUACCCGGGUAGUC
rnacentral:rRNA from 1 species